rnacentral:sRNA from 1 species
GUUAUAUCUGCUUCUCUCUCUCUCUCUCUCGGGUUUUAUUCACAGGAAUUGCUGGUCACUUCUUAUACUAUAUUUUGGGUGGUUUUUUUUUCUUCAUUCUCACCCCCUUGCAGGUACAUUCAUUAAAACUUGCCCUUGAAGGCGUGGAAAAGGAAAGGGAUUUCUACUUUGGGAAGUUGAGAGAGAUCGAGCUACUCUGCCAAGAACACGGGCAGGAAAAUGAUGACCUCGUGCAGCGACUAAUGGACGUCCUGUAUGCUUCAGAAGAACACGAGGGCCACACAGAAGAGCCGGAAGCAGAGGAGCAAGCCCACGAACAGCAGCCCCCGCAGCAGGAAGAGUACUGACCCACUCCGGCUGCUCUUGACACUUCCAUUGUGCGUGGGAACGUUUCUUCUGGAGAAUUGGAACAUGUGUGGCCCCAAGCUCAACAGAAACCAGUUGUUCCCAAUCUGCCGUUACCAUCAACGCACUG